AACUUUCGGCACGAGGCUCGGACGCAGGCUGUUCGAUACUACUUAGCACAGACUGGUAUUAGGAGGAGAAAAGAGAAGUGCCGGGACAAGUAUCUGAGUAAGGAGAAGUACAUGAAGGUGCCCCCGAGAUGGUGUGCGGACAAGAUGGACUGCUGGGAGGCGUUGGUGGAUGAGUGGUGCUCUCCCCAAUGGCGCGUCGCCCACAACAUUGCAAAGGAGAAGCGUCUCAAAAUGAAAGGUGUGCCACACCAUCUAGGCAGCGUCAACCUACAUGGGUACGGGAAAAACUGGUCAAAACACAACAAGGCUCCAGUGCCAGAGCUGUUCGACCU